GAUGAACGCUGGCGGCGUGCCUAAUACAUGCAAGUCGAGCGAACGGACGAGAAGCUUGCUUCUCUGAUGUUAGCGGCGGACGGGUGAGUAACCCGUGGAUAACCUACCUAUAAGACUGGGAUAACUUCGGGAAACCGGAGCUAAUCCCGGAUAAUAUUUUGAACCGCAUGGUUCAAAAGUGAAAGACGGUCUUGCUGUCACUUAUAGAUGGAUCCGCGCUGCAUUAGCUAGUUGGUAAGGUAACGGCUUACCAAGGCAACGAUGCAUAGCCGACCUGAGAGGGUGAUCGGCCACACUGGAACUGAGACACGGUCCAGACUCCUACGGGAGGCAGCAGUGGGGAAUCUUCCGCAAUGGGCGAAAGCCUGACGGAGCAACGCCGCGUGAGUGAUGAAGGUCUUCGGAUCGUAAAACUCUGUUAUUAGGGAAGAACAUAUGUGUAAGUAACUGUGCACAUCUUGACGGUACCUAAUCAGAAAGCCACGGCUAACUACGUG
rnacentral:rRNA from 1 species